UUUAAAGGCCAAAAACAAUGGCUACUUCGAAGAAUUCAUGCAAAAACAUGUUAUUUAUUGUAUGUAUAAAAUAUUGAAUGUAGAAGAUGAUUAGAAACGGUGAUCACCUUGACCUUUGCUCUUCAAUUUAGCUUAAAAAACCUUUGUCAAUUAUGGUAAAGUGACUUCAAUGUGUAUUUAAGGUAAAGCCAUGCAGUUGGACAUUAAGCAUAAUAAAUCUUUUUAUAGUAAUGCAACAUGCCUUAAAGCCACUGUUCAACGCGCGUGACGUCAGCACAGGCGCAACCACAACGCAACACAUCGAAUGUGAAAGUUCUCGUAGCAAUACCAACUGGAUCUGGGGAAUAUAAUAUAGGACUCACCGCAGGCGAACAAGAGACACGCGACCAAAGCGAUACGGGCGUAGCGCGCCAUGACGGGAUCACAACAGGUCGUUACGCGGCCGAGCGGCGAUUAAAUAGUGGCCUCAAUAAGCGCUCCGCCCGCCCCUCUCGCCCACACUACUUCUGCCGAUCUGCUCCCAUCAGCUGUGAAUCACCUGCAAGCUGCAUCUCCUGGAUCCUAUUUAGCUUACGUUGCCGAAUAUUCGAAAAGUCUUAAAAAAAUAAAAUGUAAAUUUUAAGUAGGUAUCUCUUAUAUUUGUAGGAAAAUAAGAACAAUGAAAGCACAAAUCACAAUAAACGCAUGAAUACUUACUAAACAAUAAAUUGCUACAGAUUCCGAAGUUCUAUAAAAAUUUCUCAUAUAUGAGUAAAAUAAAUAUAUAAAAGAAGCUUAAAUAAAUUCUAUUUAAUGAGAUUUGAACAAGGUGCAUUGUUUUUCGUUAAAUAAUUUUAACUUUUUUGAAUUAGCUAUGGCAAUAAAUGAGAUUAUAUGUAUGCAAUAUUAAGUGUUUUACCUACCAAUAUUAUAUUUUAAUAAUUAGGUAUUUUUUUAAUAGUUCUAAAUCGAUAUAGACUUUUUCAAACAAAAUUGUAAUUUUCACCAUAACUUCGUACUACAAAACAUCAUGCACCGAUGAAGUGAAAUUUUGUAUUGCGUUUAAGUAACGUUAAUCAGCAUAAAUAUUAAUUGCCUUCUUACCAGAUGUUUAUUGAACACUUAUAAAUAUAAGUUUAUUGGAUUAACAUUUAGAAACGCUUUAGUUUUACUGAAAACACAUUUGUAAUACCCACAUAACCAUGAGUUGAGUUAAACUUUUAUUUAGUUUGUGUAAGUACUAUUUAACACGUAUUAUUAACGCUUUC